rnacentral:rRNA from 1 species
ACGGAGGAUCCAAGCGUUAUCCGGAUUUAUUGGGUUUAAAGGGUGCGUAGGCGGUUUGGUAAGUUAGAGGUGAAAGCCCGGGGCUCAACAUCGGAACUGCCUCUGAUACUGCCUAGCUAGAGAGUAGAUGCUGUGGGCGGAAUGGAUGGUGUAGCGGUGAAAUGCUUAGAGAUCAUGCAGAACACCGAUUGCGAAGGCAGCUCACAAAUCUAUAUCUGACGCUGAGGCACGAAAGCGUGGGGAGCAAACAG